rnacentral:rRNA from 1 species
UACGUAGGGGGCAAGCGUUGUCCGGAAUCAUUGGGCGUAAAGCGCGCGUAGGCGGCCCGGUAAGUCCGCUGUAAAAGUCCAGGGCUCAACCCUGGAAAGCCGGUGGAUACUGUCGGGCUAGAGUCCGGAAGAGGCGAGUGGAAUUCCUGGUGUAGCGGUGGAAUGCGCAGAUAUCGGGAAGAACACCCGUGGCUAAGGCGGCUCUCUAGUACGGUACUGACGCUGAGACGCGAAAGCGUGGGGAGCGAACAGG